UACAGAGGGUGCGAGCGUUGUUCGGAAUUAUUGGGCGUAAAGCGCAUGUAGGCGGUUUUUUAAGUCGCGUGUGAAAGCCCCAGGCUCAACCUGGGAAGUGCGCGCGAAACUGGAGGACUUGAGUGCUGGAGAGGGUGGCGGAAUUCCCGGUGUAGAGGUGAAAUUCGUAGAUAUCGGGAGGAACACCAGAGGCGAAGGCGGCCACCUGGACAGACACUGACGCUGAGACGCGAAAGCGUGGGGAGCAAACAGG
rnacentral:rRNA from 1 species